AACGCACCUUGCGCUCCUGGGCUAUUCCUAGGAGCAUGCCUGUUUGAGUGUCGUGAAAUCAUCAACCCCAGUUGGAUUUGAAAUUUGACUGGUGGCUUGGACUUGGGGGUUUGCUGGCCGUUUUGAUUCGGUCUGCUCCCUUUAAAUGCAUUAGUGGGAUCUCUUGUGGACCGUCACUUGGUGUGAUAAUUAUCUAUGCCUUGAGACUUUGAAGCAAACUAAUGGGAACCUGCUUAUAACCGUCUUCGGACAAUCUCUGACAUUUUGACCUCAAAUCAGGUAGGACUACCCGCUGAACUUAA
rnacentral:rRNA from 1 species